UACGAAGGGGGCUAGCGUUGCUCGGAAUCACUGGGCGUAAAGGGUGCGUAGGCGGGGUUUUAAGUCAGAGGUGAAAUCCUGGAGCUCAACUCCAGAACUGCCUUUGAUACUGAAAGUCUUGAGUAUGGGAGAGGUGAGUGGAACUGCGAGUGUAGAGGUGAAAUUCGUAGAUAUUCGCAAGGACACCAGUGGCGAAGGCGGCUCACUGGCCCAUUACUGACGCUGAGGCACGAAAGCGUGGGGAGCAAACAGG
rnacentral:rRNA from 1 species